GAGAAGAAAUGUUCCUUCUCUUCCCUCUCUUCCUCUUCUCCCUAUUCGUCUUCUCUCUCUUCCCUCUCUUUCUCUUCUUUCUUCUCUUUUCCCUCUCUUCGUCUUCUCCCUAUUCGUCUUCCUCCUUCAUCUUCUUCUUCCUUCUCCAUCUCCUUCUUCAUUGUUAUUAUUGAGUUUCAGACAUGUUCGAUUUUGAUUUUGAUUUGGUGUUUGUUGUUUUAGGUUUGGUGAUGUUGACUCACGCGGAAGAGGGAAGCUUCGCCGACGGUGCGGUUAUCUGAACAUAAGGAUAUGAAGGUGAUGUUAUGGUUCCAGAACUUUGGUGAGAUUUUUCUGAUUUUUGUUCUUUGUGUUUUUGGAUCUACGGAUCUGUUGUCUUUUUUUCUUCUUCUACAAAUAUUUCUAAAGGAUUUUAUGUAUUUGGAAAAUGACAGUAACAUUUAGGGUUUCAUUAUGAUCUCUGUGGCUAUGGCUGUGUGUUUGUGUGAACAGUUAUUGUUUUCGCAACAAUUUGAGAAGGGUUUCUGGAAAAUGAAGAAUGAAAAUCUUAGGGUUUCAUUGUUUGUUUCUCUGUGGCUGAUUUCGGGUGAACAGUGGUCUCUGAGGUAUGGACAACUCAAAGAUUUUAUGUUAUCAUUGACAAACCUAACCAAUAUUCCAAUAUGUGCUGAAUGGUUUUUGGAUUUGGUCAUGUUGAGAUGGUGAAAGAGAGCUGCU